UACAGAGGUCUCAAGCGUUGUUCGGAUUCAUUGGGCGUAAAGGGUGCGUAGGUGGCGUGGUAAGUCGGGUGUGAAAUUUCGGAGCUUAACUCCGAAACUGCAUUCGAUACUGCCGUGCUUGAGGACUGGGAGGAGACUGGAAUUUACGGUGUAGCAGUGAAAUGCGUAGAGAUCGUAAGGAAGACCAGUGGCGAAGGCGGGUCUCUGGACAGUUCCUGACACUGAGGCACGAAGGCCAGGGGAGCAAACGGG
rnacentral:rRNA from 1 species